GCCUCAAUAGCUUAGUGGUAGAGCAUUUGAUAGAUAUUUGUUUGUUUGAAGUUGUCAUAUUUCUUAUGAAAAGGCCAGGGUUCGAAUCCCUGUUGAGGCU
rfam:Lentinula edodes NBRC 111202 DNA, contig: scaffold622.